UAGUUACUGUGAUGUUGGCUCGGUUCACUCAGACAAAAAGAAAAAAAGAAAAAACAAACACAUAUAUGCAUGCAUUUUUCUCUUUUAGCUUUGAUUGAGCCGUGCCAAUAUCUCAGUGCCUUUU
rfam:Vitis vinifera, whole genome shotgun sequence of line PN40024, unoriented chromosome 18, chr18